GGGUCAGUAGGUUGGUCGUGCCACCGGUACGUACUGGUCUCACUGAUUCCUCCUUCCUGAAGAACCGUAAUGCCAUUAAUUUGGUGUUGCGGGGAAACAGGACUGUUACAUUGAAAAAAUUAGAGUGUUUAAAGCAAGCUAACGCUUGAAUACAUUAGCAUGGAAUAAUGAAAUAGGACGAUCGAUCCUAUUUUGUUGGUUUCUUGGAUUGACGUA
rnacentral:rRNA from 1 species